AGAGUACCACGAGAGGGCACCCGGAAUACACUGCUACUGGUGUGCUCGUGACUUGCGCCAGCCAAGUCUAGAGCAGCACAGGCACACCUUGCUUCAGAGCACUAUUCGCUAUUUUCCCGUGGAAACCUUCAGUCAAAAUGCCUGAUGAACUUGCGCUAUUUUAAUUUAUCCUUCCACAGGUAAGGGAUGACACAUGUACACACAUCUGCACAAGCUGAAGUCAGCAUGCUGCUUCUGUGAAAACAGCUGGCUUGGCUUGGUCUCAAUUGGAAAAUAUAGGGAUGGAUCCUGUACUAGGGCUUGUCUUUGGAGGGAAUCACUUUACAUAUAAAUCAAGGGGGGAAAAAGACCCUAAGGAACAAGGAAAAGAGAGUUCUCAUCAUGUCCUUCACUCCUAAUUCCUGUUUCAGGCCUUUCUUUUUCUCAACCCUUCCUUUAAAAAAGAGAGACAACCAAGUGGAAAGAGAAGGAGAAAAUAUCCUAAACCCUAUGUGAAAAAUUAUUUGGAAAUAAAAAUUGGCUACCCUUGCAGAACGUCUGCUGCAUUGGUCAUGUCAGCCAGGAAACGCACAGUCUUCUUACUGAUCGUUUACAAGUGGGAACCUUUUAUUCUCAGCAUGGUAGGAACUUGUCAGAAUGUCAUGGAGAUCAAUGAAUUAACUGUGGAUUAACGUGAUUGGAAACGAGAGGCAAGUUUGACCCACUGUCUGUCGGAAAGGAAACUGGAAGUAAUGAGACUAGCGUCCAACGAGACCAACAGAACUGGAAGAUGGGCUGCUACUUGAAAAUAGCACAGUAAGAUCAUGAGAGCCAUUGCAGCUCCAGGAUUGCUGUGGCUAAUACAUGGAUUGCAAAGCAGGGAAUUUCUUCUCCCUCAUACUCUCCCUUAGCUGCCUCACACAGCUUCUGAGAAAGAGCUGGGCAGAUAAAUUAGCCUGAAUGCAAUUAAAACUAGAAAGUGUUUGGCUCUAAUGUUUCUUUCUAAAUUCAGUCAGGAAUUGUAACAAAUAGGUACAACUGGUAGCUUUCCCCAGCUAAUGGAGUAAUACCGGGGCUGAGCUUUUCCUGUUCUGUCUGCUCUCUGGAAAACUAUGUACUUCAUAACAUGUUCAGAGAUGACAUUGAUGCCAGGUCACACAGCACUGGCUGAGAAGCAUUGAUGUGCAGCCUGAGAAUGGUUAAUGUUUCUUUCUUGUUGCAUAGCCAAAAUAAGACAGAGCUAUACUGCAGACUUUUCCACUUAUACUCUGGGGAUUAUGAAAUAUUCCACUUUUCCUGGUGGCUAUAUGCAGCAAAACAAAACAUCGGGCAGUAGUUUACAUUCUUGCUGCCUGCUUUAUUUAGCACCAGCCCUGAAGUGACUCUGGGCAUUUAUAAAAAGAGAACUCUCACAACAUUAAGCCCAUGUGAAAGAUGGUGCUGACUUUCCUCUGUGAAGAUUAAAAACAGAGGCUGCAUUAUACAAUGCCAAGCCUAACCUUAUGGCUAAGCUAGUGAGCCUGUUUUCUGUCCCAUUGUUGUCUGUGUAAUGCUCUCUCCAAAAGUGCCUUGUGAGUUAAUGGUAUAAUUUUUCCCAACAAUCUUUCUUUACUUAUGAGUUCAAUUGUCUGAGAAUGUGACUGAUACUUAAAAUUGAGCCCUGCAUCUGGAUCAAAGCAGGACAGUCCUUCUUGGGAGAAGGAACAGGAAGUUUAUAUUGCAAAAUGGAUCUGAACCAGUAUAUGACCAGUGAUUGCUCAGACCUUAUACUGUAGCUUUAAGUAGUAAAAGCAAGGGAUAAACUGGUACAAGGUUAGAGUAGAAGCCUUUUUCAUCCCUAAAAGUUAGAGACUCCCCAACAUUCUCAUAACUAGAUACAUUUCUACAGAAAGUUUAGUAUAUAGCGAAAUUUCUUUCCAGUAUCUUUGUGUGAAUAAAAGACAGUGAAUUACAUUACAUUAAUGUUAGGAAAAUGCUCAGGUUCUUUUUAGCUCUCUUGAGUGCAGUUUAACAGCUAAAAGCAAAAGGAGAGACAGCCCAGUAGAAGUUCGCUUCAGGUCACCGUUAGCCAAAGGCCGUAGUUCAAAACUUCCCAAAGAGCAUCAACCUACAUAAGAACAGUAUGGAAGGACCUGGUCGCAUGGAGGAGAAAUAUGUGAUUGUAAGGGUUCUAAAGAAAGGAGGAUCUUACAGCCUAUCGUGCUUAUAAAUGUGGAUGCUCAAAAUAGGAAUCUCUUUUUGAGAUGGUGACAGAGCAGAAUACAAAUAAAUCAAUAAACCAGAAAUGCUUGUGGGACAAAGUAUUUCAGUCUUUCAGGCAGUCAAAGUCCAGACAUCAAGGGGAAGUAAGCUACAUAACUACGGGUGCAUUUGAAUGAGAACAUUUAUCAUGUUUGCUUAAGCCCCACAGAUAUUCUUCAAAAUGACAGAAGUGUCUGACCACAUUUCCCCCCUUCCCUACCCUGAAUGAACUUGUGAACUAGUUAGGCGCUGUCUGGGUUCCGGACAUUUCAAUAGUUUUGGCUCUAUUCUAACAUUCAGCCUAGAAGAAUUCCUGUUAAUUUUGUUUAUGCUCUUUAUUAAGCAUUUGCUUUGUUACUUCAGGUCUUUGCUGUGUGUUGAAUGUGCUAAUGAGAAAACCAUUUUAUCCAAUGAAAUCUAUGUUUCCGUAAUUUUGAGUAAUAGCAACUUUCUCUGAGAAAGUCCUAUGCAAAAAUCCAGAUUCCAAACAUUCCCCAACCUUUUGCUCUUUGGGUUAUUUGGAAGAUGGUCAUGGAUCUAGACUUCAUUCUGCAAUUGGCUUUUCUCUAUAUAUAACGGGAGAAAUAAAUUGCCUGAUUUAGAAUGUUCUGCAUCUGAAUUUUUUAUGGGUAGCUCUACUUCCCAAACAGUUUCAGGGCUUUGGCCAUUAAAUAUAUGAGUAUAUCACAGAACUGACUGGGAGGAGUGUUUGCUGCUUCCUUAGUAGUAGGCAAUCAAGUAAGCAAACAUCUGAGGUGUGCUGAGUAUCUUUAUGUGGCACCUACAGUUAGGAAAUUCAGAAACGUGCAUUUCAAGCACAUUCACUUGGCAAGCAUUGUAAUAUGAGGACAACCACCUCAUUCUUUUCGCAAAGCAUG